CAGAGAUGGUUUUAGCAGCAGUUAGUGAUAUCCUUUACAGCGGGAACCAUGGACAUAGACACGUUGAACAUCUCCAGGCCCUAUUCCUUGUAUGGGGCAGAUCCAUCCUCUUCUUGGUGAUAAGCAACAUUUUGCUAAACAGGAAGAACGCUCGUUCCUUCUUGACACGUUGAACACGGAAUGUCCCUUCCAUGAUGAGCUCCCCGAACCCACUCAGGUCUGGACCCUGCCAAUUCACCAGCUUGCUCUGGAUUUCCUGGGGACAGAAAAGUGACCCGAAUACUGAAGACACACAUUGUGGAAAGCCCCUGAUGAGGUCACCUACUCGGGUGAACCGAAAUGCGUAGGGAAUUGUGUAUGGUCCGAAUGCUACAUUUUCAUAUAUGUGAGUGCCAUUUUUUAUGGGAAAUGGGAUUGGUCCUAAUUGAUUGAUGUACGGUGAGUCUAUAUACAC